UGAGAGUUUGAUCCUGGCUCANNCGUGCCUAAUACAUGCAAGUUGAGCGCUGAAGGUUGGUACUUGUACCAACUGGAUGAGCAGCGAACGGGUGAGUAACGCGUGGGGAAUCUGCCUUUGAGCGGGGGACAACAUUUGGAAACGAAUGCUAAUACCGCAUAAAAACUUUAAACACAAGUUUUAAGUUUGAAAGAUGCAAUUGCAUCACUCAAAGAUGAUCCCGCGUUGUAUUAGCUAGUUGGUGAGGUA
rnacentral:rRNA from 1 species